rnacentral:rRNA from 1 species
UACGGGGGGGGCAAGCGUUGUUCGGAAUUACUGGGCGUAAAGGGCUCGUAGGUGGCCAACUAAGUCGGACGUGAAAUCCCUCAGCUUAACUGGGGAACUGCGUCCGAUACUGGAUGGCUUGAGUUUGGGAGAGGGAUGCGGAAUUCCAGGUGUAGCGGUGAAAUGCGUAGAUAUCUGGAGGAACACCGGUGGCGAAGGCGGCAUCCUGGACCAACACUGACACUGAGGAGCGAAAGCCAGGGAAGCAAACGGG